GAUGAACGCUAGCGGCAGGCUUAAUACAUGCAAGUCGAGGGACAGCACAGGUAGCAAUACUGGGUGGUAACCGGCAAACGGGUGCGGAACACAUACACAACCUUCCUUUAAGUGGGGGAUAGCCCAGAGAAAUUUGGACUAAUACCCCGUAAUAUAGUUGAAUGGCAUCAUUUGAUUAUUAUAGCUACGGCGCUUAAUGAUGGGUGUGCGGCUGAUUAGAUAGUUGGCGGGGUAACGGCCCACCAAGUCUACGAUCAGUAGCUGAUGUGAGAGCAUGAUCAGCCACACGGGCACUGAGACACGGGCCCGACUCCUACGGGAGGCAGCAGUAAGGAAUAUUGGUCAAUGGACGCAAGUCUGAACCAGCCAUGCCGCGUGAAGGAUUAAGGUCCUCUGGAUUGUAAACUUCUUUUAUUUGGGACGAAAAAGGGCCUUUCUAGGUCAACUGACGGUACCAGAUGAAUAGGCACCGGCUAACUCCGUGCCAGCCGCCGCAGUAAAAC
rnacentral:rRNA from 1 species